rnacentral:misc_RNA from 2 species
AACGCACCUUGCACUCCUUGGUAUUCCGAGGAGUAUGCCUGUUUGAGUGUCAUUAAAUUCUCAAAUCUCAUCAGUUUUAUAACUGACUUGAGACUUUGGAUGUGGGAGUUGCAGGCUUCUCAGAAGUCUGCUCUCCUUAAAUAUAUUAGUGGUUACUGUUUGACCAUAUCCUGGUGUGAUAAUAUCUACUCCAAGGGUUGGUUAAUACUUAAAGGUAGCUGCUUCGAACGGUCUAUUAACUUGGACAACUUUGAACCAUUUGACCUCAAAUCAGGUAGGAUUACCCGCUGAACUUAA